rnacentral:rRNA from 1 species
AACAAACGCUGGCGGCGUGCCUAACACAUGCAAGUCGUACGAGAAAGGGUCCUUCGGGCCGUGAGUAAAGUGGCGCACGGGUGAGUAACGCGUGGAUAAUCUGCCCCUCCAGUUGGGAAUAACUCAUCGAAAGGUGGGCGUAAUACCGAAUAAAUGCUGCAUGACCUCGGUGGUGCAGCCAAAGACGGCCUCUGCUUGCAAGCUGUCGCUGAGGGAUGAGUCCGCGUACCAUUAGCUCGUUGGUGGGGUAAUGGCCUACCAAGGCGACGAUGGUUAGCUGGUCUGAGAGGAUGAUCAGCCACACUGGAACUGAGAUACGGUCCAGACUCCUACGGGAGGCAGCAGUGAGGAAUCUUGCGCAAUGGGGGAAACCCUGACGCAGCAACGCCGCGUGAGUGAGGAAGGUCUUCGGAUCGUAAAGCUCUGUCGGUUGGGAAGAAACGCAUGGAGGCCAAUACCCUUCAUGCCUGACGGUACCAACAGAGG